rnacentral:rRNA from 1 species
UACGUAGGGGGGCAAGCGUUGUCCGGAUUUAUUGGGCGUAAAGAGCUCGUAGGCGGUUCCGUAAGUCGGGUGUGAAAAAUCUGGGCUCAACCCAGUGGAGCACCCGAUACUGCGGUGACUCGAGUCCGGUAGGGGAGUGUGGAAUUCCUGGUGUAGCGGUGAAAUGCGCAGAUAUCAGGAGGAACACCGACGGCGAAGGCAGCACUCUGGGCCGGUACUGACGCUGAGGAGCGAAAGCAUGGGGAGCGAACAGG